CUAAGAUUUUUUUAGGAUUUGGUUAGAAUUUUUUUAGGAUUUGAUUAAGAUUUAUGUAGGAUUUAUUUAGGAUUUGAUUAAGGUUUGAUUACAGUUUGAUUAGGAUUUGUCUAAGAUUCUAUUAGAAUUUGGUUAGGAUUUGGUUAUAAUUUGUUUAAGAUUAUUUUAGUAUUUGAUUAGAAUUUGACUAGGAUUUAUUUAGGAUUUGUUUGGAGUUUGAUUGGGACUUAUUUAAGAUUUGUCUAGGAUUUGAUUAGGAUUUAUUUAGGAUUUGAUUAGAAUUUUAUUAGUAUUUUUUUGGAAUUUGAUUAUAAAUUGUCUAUGAUUUGAUUAGAGUCAUUUAGAAUUUGAGUAAAGUUUGACUAAGAUUUGACUAGGAUUUGACUAAGGUUUAAUUAGGUUUUGAUUAAGAUUUAAUUAAAAUUUAGAUUUUAAUGUUUUAUUAAUAUUUCUAUUUUAGUAUAUAUAUUUUUUGAAUUUCUAUGUUAUUUCUUUAUGAUUUCUUAAAAGGAUUUUUAAGAAUUCU
rnacentral:lncRNA from 1 species